rnacentral:rRNA from 1 species
UAACGGCGCGCUUAAUGCAUGCAAGUCGAACGAUGAGGUCUCUACGGGGGUACAUCAGUGGCAGACGGGUGAGUAACACGUAGGUAACCUGCCCUCGAGACGGGGAUAACGGGUGGAGGCGGUCGCUAAGACCCGAUAUAGUCUGACCUUCGGGAGAAGGUGAGAGGAAAGGCUUCGGUGCUCGGGGAGGGGCCUGCGGCCCAUCAGCUAGUUGGAGAGGUAACGGCUCCCCAAGGCAAUGACGGGUAGGGGGUGUGAGAGCAUGGACCCCCACACUGGGACUGAGACACGGCCCAGACUCCUACGGGAGGCAGCAGCAGGGAAUAUUGCGCAAUGGACGGAAGUCUGACGCAGCGACGCCGCGUGGAUGAUGAAGGCCUUCGGGUUGUAAAAUCCUUUAUCCGGGCGAUGAGACAGGACAACUAGCCUGGGAAUACGCGUCGGGUAGCUACGUGCCAGAAGCCCGCGGUAAGACGUAGGACGCGAGCGUUAUCCGGAUAUACUGGGCGUAAAGCGCCUGCAGGCGGAACAGGUAAGUCGGAUGUGAAAGCCCAGUGC